rnacentral:rRNA from 1 species
CUACGGGAGGCAGCAGUGGGGAAUAUUGCACAAUGGGGGAAACCCUGAUGCAGCAACGCCGCGUGAAUGAUGAAGGCCUUCGGGUUGUAAAGUUCUGUCUUUUGGGACGAUAAUGACGGUACCAAAGGAGGAAGCCACGGCUAACUACGUGCCAGCAGCCGCGGUAAU